rnacentral:rRNA from 1 species
GACGAACGCUGGCGGCGUGCUUAACACAUGCAAGUCGAACGGUUAAGCGCCUUCCUUUUUGGUGGGUGUGGAUGAGUGGCGAACGGGUGAGUAACACGUGAGUAACCUGCCCCCUUCUUCUGGAUAACCGCAUGAAAGUGUUGCUAAUACGGGAUAUUCUGGGUCUGUCGCAUGAUGGGUCUGGGUAAGAUAUUGUUUAGGUGGGGGAUGGGCUCGCGGCCUACCAGCUUGUUGGUGGGGUGGUGGCCUACCAAGGAGGGGACGGGUAGCCGGCCUGAGAGGGUGCACGGACACACUGGGACUGAGACACGGACCAGACUCAUACGGGAGGCAACAGUUGGGAUUAUUGCACAAUGGGGGCAGGCCUGAUGCAGCGACGCCGCGAGAGGGAUGGAUGCCUUCGGGUUGUGAACCUCUUUCGCUAGAGAAGCAGUCCUGCCUCGUGUGUGGGUGGGUUGACGGUAGCUGGAUAAGAAGCGCCGGCUAACUACGUG